rfam:Nomascus leucogenys chromosome 21, whole genome shotgun sequence.
GGUGGUGAAGACAAUGGACUGAGGAGUCUGUUGGACCUGGGUUCGAAUCCCAGCUCCACCA